rnacentral:rRNA from 1 species
UACGAAGGGUGCAAGCGUUACUCGGAAUUACUGGGCGUAAAGCGUGCGUAGGUGGUUCGUUAAGUCUGUCGUGAAAGCCCCGGGCUCAACCUGGGAAUGGCGAUGGAUACUGGCGGGCUAGAGUGCGGUAGAGGAGAGUGGAAUUCCCGGUGUAGCAGUGAAAUGCGUAGAGAUCGGGAGGAACAUCAGUUGCGAAGGCGGCUCUCUGGACCAGCACUGACACUGAGGCACGAAAGCGUGGGGAGCAAGCAGG